GACGAACGCUGGCGGCGUGCCUAAUACAUGCAAGUAGAACGCACAGUUUAUACCGUAGCUUGCUACACCAUAGACUGUGAGUUGCGAACGGGUGAGUAACGCGUAGGUAACCUGCCUGGUAGCGGGGGAUAACUAUUGGAAACGAUAGCUAAUACCGCAUAAUAUUGAUUAUUGCAUGAUAAUUGAUUGAAAGAUGCUAUUGCAUCACUACCAGAUGGACCUUCGUUGUAUUAGCUAGUAGGUGAGGUAACGGCUCACCUAGGCGACGAUACAUAGCCGACCUGGGAGGGUGAUCGGCCACACUGGGACUGAGACACGGCCCAGACUCCUAAGGGAGGCAGCAGUAGGGAAUCUUCGGCAAUGGACGAAAGUCUGACCGAGCAACGCCGCGUGAGUGAAGAAGGUUUUCGGAUCGUAAAGCUCUGUUGUAAGAGAAGAACGGGUGUGAGAGUGGAAAGUUCACACUGUGACGGUAUCUUAACAGAAAGGGACGGCUAACUACGUG
rnacentral:rRNA from 1 species